GUGUCAGCCGCCGCGGUAAGACGAACCGUGCGAACGUUAUUCGGAAUCACUGGGCUUAAAGCGCGUGUAGGCGGCGCGGAGCAUCGUCGGCUGAAAUCCCCCGGCUCAACCGGGGAACGGGCCACGAGAUGUCCGCGCUGGAGGGGGGUAGGGGGAGCCGGAACUCACGGUGGAGCGGUGAAAUGCGUUGAGAUCGUGAGGAACGCCCGUGGCGAAAGCGGGCUCCUGGACCCCGCCUGACGCUGAGACGCGAAAGCCAGGGGAGCGAACGGGAUUAGAUACCCCCGUAGUCC
rnacentral:rRNA from 1 species